rnacentral:rRNA from 1 species
GACGAACGCUGGCGGCGUGCUUAACACAUGCAAGUCGAACGGUGAAGCGCUUUCCUUUUUGGUUGGUGUGGAUGAGUGGCGAACGGGUGAGUAACACGUGAGUAACCUGCCCCCUUCUUCUGGAUAACCGCAUGAAAGUGUGGCUAAUACGGGAUAUUCUGCGCCUGCUGCAUGGUGGGUGUGGGAAAGAUUGUGCCUUUGGUUGUUUUCGGUGGGGGAUGGGCUCGCGGCCUAUCAGCUUGUUGGUGGGGUGAUGGCCUACCAAGGCGGUGACGGGUAGCCGGCCGGAGAGGAUGGACGGUCACACUGGGACUGGGACACGGCCCAGACUCCUACGGGAGGCAGCAGUGGGGAAGAUUGCACAAUGGGCGCAAGCCUGAUGCAGCGACGCCGCGUGAGGGAUGGAGGCCUUCGGGUUGUGAGCCUCUUUCGCCAGUGAAGCAGGCCUGCUCCUUGUGGGUGGGUUGACGGUAGCUGGAUAAGAAGCGCCGGCUAACUACGUG